ensembl:lncRNA
CGCGGGGAAACUCGACCUGACUUUCUCCGGCAGCCGGACUCCCAGACCCGGGGAUUGGGGCUAGGGCUCCCCCGCCUAGGGUCAGGGAUCUCCCUGCAGCUACAGCAGCCAACUCUAAGCGAAGAGACUAGAGUGCGCAGGAUAAUCUAGCGACACCCCGAGGAACAGUCUGGGCCUCGCUCUAGUGCGGAGUUAUGGCCAACACACAGAUUUGUGGAGGGAAUUAAUAUAGAAUAUUCUCUGCUAGGAAGGGAAACAUUAGCUUAACAAUUAAAAAAAAAAAAAAAGCGCUUCCCACGCCUCUCUCUUUUGAUUCUCGGGAACCUUAAGGGAAUUGCUAAAUCUGCAUUUGAAUGCCUUGGUUGUAGGUCUGCAUUAGCUCAGUGGAAUAAAAUCUUCCAAAAGAUCUCAAAAAGAAUGCAGUUAGAUCGGAAUCGACUUCUUCAAUCUACGCUAAGAUCCCGGGCAAAUGAAAAAGCUUUUUCCGCGACCUCUUUUCACAGAGCCAGCUGGACCCCGGAACCUCCCCCGCCCAGGUAACGAACCUCAACGCCGGCCUUCCCAGGCAGACACCCCCGGCUCCCAGGUCUGCGGGACAAAGGACAGCGGUGCCGCCUCGUGCGCUUUCCCACCCGGUAAGUACAGCCUGCAAACUGUGAACUCAGUCUAAUGAGAAUCUACAAGUUCCUCGCGGAGAAGGGGAAACCCUGGGUGUCCAGACGUCCCACUCGGGGAACUCCCCCCGCCCCCCAAGCCCAAGAGCGAGGUCCGGGCAUCCCGGGGCUGUGAGCCCAGCCUCAGCUCAGGCAAAGCUCCAGACGCCGGCUCAGCGCUGCCAGGAGUGCUCCCGGCCGUUGGGAAACAGCCCUCAGAAGAGGGCGGACAUGACCUCAGAAAGUUUGUGGAGCUCAAAUAUGUUAACACUGUGAGGACAAAGAGAUAUGAUUUCCCUGGAACCGGUGGAGGGGGGCUGCAGGGGGAACCACGAGGGCGAGGGAAUCUAGGGUUAAAGAGGGAAUUGCCUUAGUUCAAAGUUAAUGCAGUCUCCUCUUACACCAUCUCAAAGAAGGUGAGUGGAAAAAAAAAACAAGUGUGGGCAGGUUAUGGUUAGGAAGGAAAAGUAAUGCCUGCAGACUGAGUGUGCUGAUUCGUAGCACUAUGAGAAUGUGGCAUAUUCCCUGCCAAUUAUUUAGAAUACGCACAAAUUCACCCGUGCAACAAACAUCAUCAUCAUCCAAACACCCAGCCACAGCCAUAACUGCGCAAAGGGCUCCUAGAGUUACAGGUCAAUUUCAUACAUGGAAAACGUGGAAAAAAGGUGACCUGAUCGCUAAGCUCAACUCUUUUGUGCCCCUUGCUGAAUUCUAACUCCAAGCAGAACACAAUCACCCAUGAACGCCAACAGUUUGUUUGGGGGGCGGUGGGGGUGGAGAACAGUAAAAGAUAGAACAACAUUCUGCAAGAUAAAAUCACAAGAUUUUUUAAAUGGGACAAAAGAAUUCCUGGAGAAAAUUACCGUUCAUUAAUAAAUAACAAUGAUCACUUGGACUAAAACAUCUGUUUGGAAAUUCCGAUUCACCGGAUUCCCUGAGAAACCUAAUUGCCUGGAAGAAGUUGCACUUUGUCGCCACAGGAACAGCCGAGAGCCAGAGAUGGAGGUUUCAGAGGCCAGUGCAGCCACGUUUUUACUGAUCCUUUAGCCCCAACAGAACGAAAAGAGAUGCCUUUUUGCUACUAUCACAUUACCUUCAUAUGAACGAGAAAUGUAGUUCAAGCUCCUCACUUGUCCUCUCAAUAGUCGAUCCUUCCUAACCCAGUCCCCAGAGGCUCAAGAAAAUUAGGAGGAUGGGAGUGGGUUCCCAAAAACAGAAAAAGCUUUCUGCCAAGCACCGCCUUUGCAUCCAGUCCACCCAAGCUGGUAUUUGUAUAUUAGACAUAAAACCGACCUUAGUGGGUGAUAACUGAAGCCCAGGGUAUUGUUGACCUGCCUCAAGCCCACGUCCCAGAACCGGCAGGUCCAAGUUCGUGGUGGGCUCAGAACCCCACAGGGAGCGCGCGCUUUGCCGGGUAUCCGGACUAGAGGGCGCUGCGCCACUGCAGAUCACGCGCACCCGAUGCGUCCUCCCUGGGCACCAUUUCUAUAAUAAGUUACAUUCGAAAUAAUGCACAAACAGCAUAGCUUUUCAAGUUCUUUUCAACAGUGCCCUGUAAGUAUUUUAUGAAUUCCAAAACCUAUGCAUACUGAUCUUUCAUUCCGAGCCAAGCACAACCGGAGCGGAAAGCCUGUAGGAUGCAUUCGCUUCCCUGUACUAGCCAAACACCACGUAAUUUCAUUUACGUUUAAACUUAAAUACAAAAAGGCUUGCACUAAGAAAGGAACUCACUCGUCCAGCCGAGUCCUCGUUGCUCCGCGUUGAAGUCCGAGCAGCUCUGUAAUCCCUACGCGAUUUGGCUGUUUAAGAAAAAAAAAAAAAAAAAAAAAA